GUUGAAAGAGAUGUGUGAGAGACUCAAUGACUCAAGUGUCUUGGGUCUGUGAUUGUUAGGGGCAAAAGCUGAGUCAGCAUAUACAUGGUUGGCAUUUUGAAAAGGAAAAUAGAGGAUGGAAUCUGAGCCUGCUUUACAAGAGACCCCAAAAAAAAAUUCACCCAGAAAUUACAGUUUUCUACUAAUUUUGUUUUUUCAUUAGUUCUAAACCAACCUGACAAGCAAGCAUUCACAAAUACCAUGUAUCCUUUUAGAUUGA
rnacentral:misc_RNA from 1 species